rnacentral:RNase_P_RNA from 1 species
GGCAAAGCGUGCUGGCCGUCAUGCAAAGCGCGACGGCAAGACUUAGCGGAACCCGCGAGUGCGAUGGUGGAAAGGUGAGGUAAGAGCUCACCCGAGGGCAUGGCAACAUGCCCCCGCUGUAAACUCUAUCCGGAGCAACACCGUGACAUGGAGUAGUGUUCAAUCACAACGGCUUGCCCGGCCGCUCCAUAGAGGUGGCACCGAGGCGGCCGGUAACGGCCGUCCCAGAUAGAUGGUUGUCGGUAAACAGAUUGUUUAUUACAGAAUCCGGCUUACCGACUUACUCGCACA